rnacentral:rRNA from 1 species
GGUUGAUUCUGCCAGUAGUCAUAUGCUUGUCUCAAAGAUUAAGCCAUGCAUGUCUAAGUAUAAGCAAUUAUACGGCGAAACUGCGAAUGGCUCAUUAAAUCAGUUAUCGUUUACUUGAUAGACCCAUACUACUUGGAUAACCGUGGUAAUUCUAGAGCUAACACAUGCGAAAAACCGCGACUUCGGAAGCGGUGUAUUUAUUAGAUUAAAGACCAAUGCCCUUCGGGGCUGACUGGUGAUUCAUGAUAACUUCACGAAUCGCACGGCCUUGCGCCGGCGAUGGCUCAUUCAAAUUUCUGCCCUAUCAACUUUCGACUUUAGUGUAGUGGACUAAAGUGGUUGCAACGGGUAACGGAGGGUUAGGGCUCGACCCCGGAGAAGGAGCCUGAGAGGCGGCUACUACAUCCAAGGAAGGCAGCAGGCGCGCAAAUUACCCAAUCCCGACCCGGGGAGGUAGUGACAAUAAAUACUGAUACAGGGCCCUUUUGGGUCUUGUAAUUGGAAUGAGUACAAUUUAAAUCUCUUAACGAGGAACAAUUGGAGGGCAAGUCUGGUGCCAGCAGCCGCGGUAAUUCCAGCUCCAAUAGCGUAUAUCAAAGUUGUUGUGGUUAAAAAGCUCGUAGUUGAACCUGGGCCUCGCGCAGACCGGUCCGCCUCACCGCGUGCACUGGUCCUGCCGGGGCUUUCACUAGGGGAUUCGCAUGUCCUUCACUGGGCGUGUGCGGAACCUGGACUUUUACUGUGAAAAAAUUAGAGUGUUCAAAGCAGGCCUAUGCUCGAAUACAUUAGCAUGGAAUAAUAGAAUAGGACGUGUGGUUCUAUUUUGUUGGUCAUGGGACCGCCGUAAUGAUUAAUAGGGACAGUCGGGGGCAUCAGUAUUCAAUAGUCAGAGGUGAAAUUCUUGGAUUUAUUGAAGACUAACUACUGCGAAAGCAUUUGCCAAGGAUGUUUUCAUUAAUCAGGAACGAAAGUUAGGGGAUCGAAGACGAUCAGAUACCGUCGUAGUCUUAACCAUAAACUAUGCCGACUAGGGAUCGGGCGAUGUUAUUUUUUGACUCGCUCGGCACCUUACGAGAAAUCAAAGUCUGUGGGUUCCUGGGGGAGUAUGGUGGCAACGCUGAAACUUAAAGAAAUUGACGGAAGGGCACUACCAGGAGUGGAGCCUGCGGCUUAAUUUGACCCAACACGGGGAAACUCACCAGGUCCAGACACAAUGAGGAUUGACAGAUUGAGAGCUCUUUCUUGAUUUUGUGGGUGGUGGUGCAUGGCCGUUCUUAGUUGGUGGAGUGAUUUGUCUGCUUAAUUGCGAUAACGAACGAGACCUUAACCUGCUAAAUAGCCCGCGUUGCUC